rnacentral:rRNA from 1 species
UGGGCGAGUGAACCUAAGAGAGCAUAUAUGAGGGAUGCGUAGGAGCAAUAAAUACAAAUGUGAACUGCGAAUGCCUCAUUAAAUCAGUUAUCCUUUAUUUGCCCCCUAUUAAGGACAUGGAUACCUGUGGUAAUUCUAGAGCUAAUACCUCCUAAAAACCCCGACUUCGGGAGGGGUGUAUUUAUUAGAUAAAAAACCAAUGCCCCUCGGGGCUCCUUGGUGAAUCAUAAUAACUUAACGAAUCGCAUGGCCUUGCGCCGGCGAUGGUUCAUUCAAAUUUCUGCCCUAUCAACUUUCGAUGGUAGGAUAGUGGCCUACCAUGGUGGCAACGGGUAACGGGGAAUUAGGGUUCGAUUCCGGAGAGGGAGCCUGAGAAACGGCUACCACAUCCAAGGAAGGCAGCAGGCGCGCAAAUUACCCAAUCCCGACACGGGGAGGUAGUGACAAUAAAUACUGAUACGGGGCUCUUUUGGGUCUCGUAAUUGGAAUGAGUACAAUCUAAAUCCCUUAACGAGGAACAAUUGGAGGGCAAGUCUGGUGCCAGCAGCCGCGGUAAUUCCAGCUCCAAUAGCGUAUAUUAAAGUUGUUGCAGUUAAAAAGCUCGUAGUUGAACCUUGGGUCUGGCUGGGCGGUCCGCCUCACCGCGAGUACUGGUCCGGCUGGACCUUUCCUUCUGGGGGAAUCCCAUGGCCUUCACUGGCUGUGGGGUGGAAACAGGACUUUUACUGUGGAAAAAUUUGAAGGGUUCAAAAAAAGGCCUUUGCUCCGAAUACAUUUACCCUGGAAUAAUAGAAUAGGGACGUGCGGUUCUAUUUUUGUUGGGUUCUACGGACCGCCGCAAUGAUUAAUAGGGGAUAGUCCGGGGGGGGUCAUUAUUUCUGCUGUUCAAAAGGGGAAAUUCCUUGGGGAUUGGCGGAAAAAAUAAUCAACUGGCCAAAACAUUCGCCAAAGGAAGUUUUUCUUUUAUUCAGGGGAACGAAAAGUUAUGGGGGAACCUAAAAACGAACUAAAUACCGGUCCGUUAUUCUUUAACCAAAUAACAUGGCGGACUAAGGGAAUCUGGGUCGGGGGUUUUUUUUUUGAAAGAACCCCCUCCCGGGCCCCUUUCCAAAAAAUCAAAAAUUUUUUUGGGUUUCCCUGGGACGGAGCUGUACAAUUUACUGAACGUGGUAAGUGCUAUAAAUA